rnacentral:lncRNA from 1 species
UCAGUAUUACGACUUCUUGAAAUAUAAACCACCCAUUCACCUAUAUUGACUGAGAUGAAAACAAAAACAAACUGAUUUGUGCAUUAGAUCUUAGUCGACUGCUGAUCCUUUAUUGAGACUGUGGCAUCACGGAUGUAUUAAAAUGGGUGGUACCGUUUCGUCAAAUACUUAUAAAAACGUUUUUAAGCGAAAAAAAGAGGAAGAUAAGUGCAAGCUUAUCGCAUGCAAAUAUGUUAAAGAAGGUGAAACUAAUGAAGCAGCAUCAGGAUCUUCCAGCAAGAUAUCAGGAAGUACAGUUGGUGAAAAUCAAGCAAAACUCGUUAGAAAUGUGACGUUUGCAAAGAUCGCAAGAACUAAAACUAAUAUUUAAUUUCAUUCCAUAUCUUUAUUUACAGGUACUACGUUUUAUUUUAUUGGGAUGUUGAAACAAAUAUUUAGCCAAAACUGCAUUCAACUUUUUCAAAAAAUAAAAAACUAAAUAUUUUGCUAAUUAUUGUAGUACAUCAUGUAAUAAUAAAAAUAAAUUUGUAAAACAA